CGAGAAGCUGCGACGGUGCCCCGCGUGAGCCACGGCAACCCGUAUCCACUCCAUCAGGGGAGGCAGCACAAUGAAUGGCCUGGGAAAAGCACACAGACAUGAGUGCUGUGGUAGAGCAGCAGCAAAAUCACAGAAGAGCAGAAGAAUGAACAAACCUAAAUAAACUGCAGCCCCCCGCAGGUGGAGGUACCAGAGGAGCACUGGCUUCACAGACAGCACCUGGCACAUGACAAACGUCUCCGUUGCAUCCCAGCUGGAUGAGUUAGAGACAGCGGACCCCACGAACAGGUCCAAAUCCUCUCCUGUACCUCCACGCCUGCCAAAAGAGCCACCUACAUGGUACCUGGGGCCAUCAGAUAACCCGUCCCAGCAGGACUGGCUUGCGUUGGUGCCAACAGCACAGCCAAAAAGGCAGGGAGUUUAUUGAAAACUGAUCAGAUUGAAAAAAGCACAUGAUUCUGGAGGGUGCGGGGGAUGUCACACAUCUGUCUUCUGGUUGGGUUUACUGGAGUUGAGGAAGCGGGGAAUCUUUUCCAGAUCUGCUGAGAAAUCCUGGCCACUUUCCAUCUCCCUCCUUGAAAGCAGCCGUUCCCCCCUUCCCCCAGCUUCACGGCACAACCAUUUCCCCCUUUUAUUUUAUGCACGGAUAACCACUGUUAUAAAUACACCUCAUUCUUAUUUCUCUACCUCCGUGAAGAGCAAACGCUGAGAAACGCUCCCUAGAAAAUUCUCCCUAGAAGCGAGGGCUGGAUUUAUUCAAAGGUAAACGUCCCCUUUUAUGCAUCCCAGGAAACUUUGCAGGAGGUACAGAUUUUUUGUGCUAGGAAGCGCUAAGCCAGGCAGGCCCUACCACUGCACCAGCUGUAGGGAUUAAGCUCCAGCUUCCCUCCUGUACCCAGCUGCUGCAGAAGCACACACAGAGCCUUCGCAGCUCCCUAGCUCAACUUUGCUUCAGAGCCCAAGUCCUGGUGGACUGGAGAUGGGUAGGAAGGACAGGAGCAGCUCCUGUGGGGCCACCGAGACCUGCAAGCACUGGGGGAGCUCCCUGGUCACACUCCGCAACCCUCUGCAGCCUGGGCAUGCACGGUCAGAAGAGGAGGCCAAAACGGUAGCCAAGUUGUCCUUACGUGAGCCAAGGACAGCCCCUGUUCCAUGGAAAUCCUGUCUAUGGCCAGAUCCACUCGGUUUCUGGCUUCUCAGCACCAGCAGGGACCCAGAGAGGCCAGGGAAGGGGGAAAAAGCCUCGACUGCCUUCCUUCUCUCUGUGCUUUUCCAACAUAAAAGUCAUUGUCACAGCCCGAGAAGAUGAGAGGGAAUAGGGAACAGAGAGAAGGCAUAAAGCUUGCAAAUAUUCUGCAUAUAAAAGUGUCAUGUUUAACAAACCCGCUCCCUCAUAAGGCAUAAAAACCCAUCCCGAAAACCGAAAACACCAGAAAUCAGUCACGGACCAUAAAGCAUGGCCGCAUGUAGGGAACAGCACCGAUAAUCUUUGACAGAAAAUACGAAGGGAGGCUUCUCGGAGCACUAAAUA